rnacentral:lncRNA from 1 species
UUUAUGUAUUGUCUAUUAUAUUCAGAAAUUCAGUAAUUCAGUUAUAUCUGCGCAGAUAUUCACUUUUAAAGUUUUGUACUCUUACAGUUUAUGAUUGAUCUCAAUAAAGAAAACCAGUUGGAAAUAGACAUUCUAUUGACCCCACUUUAUGUUAUUUCCAUGCUACAUACCUACACUUGAUCCAUGUCGUUGGUUAUAUUGAUAUAUGUGAUCUAUGAUUGGUUCUAGUUACGAAUGAGUAACGACGAGCUCUUAGGUCCUAUGUUGGUAUGAUUGAUGGACCGGAUUAUUCAUGACAAUUUUNNNN